AGAACACUACAACUUAGAGCUGCAUAGCAACAACACCCUUGUUUACUGUGCUUUUCCUGGUAACCUCCCAUAACUGGCCUCCCUACCCCCCCCCCAUUUUUUUUUCAUUAGCUGAAGAUGGUAUUUAAGGUAAUGGUUUGGUACGUUUAGGCGAGUUACCCAGUUCUUCUGGGUAUCUCCCGUGUAUACAGGAGGUAUAUAUGCUAUAUUACCUUCUGUUUUUCUCCUGUUAAUCUGUAUUCUUAUGGGGGUUUUCAGCCAAGAACCUAGAAGGACAGAAGGAAAAUUAUUUCUCCUCCCCUACAAUACAUAGAGUAAGAAUUCAUUUAUAUAAAUGUUAAAACCAUGCCAAACAAUAUAAUCUACUGUUCAUGGAUGGAUUGUUUGGGAAAGAUGAACAUCAAAUUCAGUAUAGUCAUUUGCUCUGGAGGGUAAGGAGAAUAAAGCAAUUGAGGAGAUGGGAUUCAGUGUUCAAGAAGAUAAACAAGGUCCCUGCUCUCAUAGAAGGAUCUGGACAAAGAAUGACAGUGGCUUCAAGAAACUUCCUGUUUCUCUACACAAGACACACCUGAGAAGAUCUUAUGUGAGGUGAGGAUCACUUUUCCUCUGCUCCAGUUUCUUCAUCUGGAUCUCUUGGACCAAGUAUCUUUGAUUGGAGGCAAAUAGUGAGUAUAAGGACCCACAGUGACCUCAAGUCUAAGAUUACAGGUUACUAGAAUAUAAGCCCUGUGUUUUGACAUUGGUAGGUGCUUUCUCAUCUAGUAGAAAAGGUACUGUCAGUCAAAAACCUGGGCUGGGAAAUAAGGGGUGAAUUAUAUCUAAAAAGUGUUGUGACAUGAAGAUUAGAAAGAGGUGCUUAAUUUGGCUGUUGUGCAAAAAUAUUCUGUACUACUGCUGGUGACUCACAAAUAGAGCCGAACUUGGUAGACUUUUACAUAUGUGUCUCAGUAUUUCAAUAGGAUAUUAACUGAUUCUCACAAACCUCUUGUGAACCCUCAUUUAUUUUAAAACUCGUUUGUACUUACAAAACAUCCAUCUGUUCUUAAUUGCUAUUUCAAUAUUCUUGCCACAUUUUUUCAUAUAGAUUUUUUUCCCCUCAUUUACCAUUUGCUAUUUGGAGGAAGGCAUUAUGAUGAGAAAGAAUAUACUAAAAGGAUGAGAAAAUGGCACAUUUCCUAGCAUCAACUUGCUAGGCAUUUAAGGGAAUUUGAGAAAGAUACUUGUCCUUUAAAAAAAUUAAGUUUUCCUGUAUAAUAUAUAUUUAACUAGUAGAGCUAUAGGAGAAUUUCAGUUGCUUUCCUGCUUUAUUUGUCUUUCAGGAGGCUCUUGCUUCUCUAUGCCAGCCCAAAUCACCCAUAAAUCAUACACCUCCUGGUCUUGGAUAGGAGCAAUUGAUCAUGGGAGACAUUGUAAUAUAAUGGCUAAGAACUUUCAGUUCUUGAUCUAGAAAUUCCUGAGUUCAAAUCCAGCUUCUGCCAGCUACUUUUUAAUUAAGUGUCCUUGGGGAAAUUAUUUUGCCAUAGCUUAUUCUUCCUCCUCUGGAAAAUAAUCAUAGAUACUAUUCCAACACACACACACACACACAAAUUGCUAUAAGAAUUAA